rnacentral:lncRNA from 1 species
AGCAUUCAACAAGAAUCGCUCAGAGGGUGGCAGAGUGAUGGUCAGCAAAAGCAAGAGCAUCCUUAUGUCCUAUAACCAUGUGGAACUUACAUUCAGUGACAUGAAGAAGAUGCCAGAGGCCUUUAGAAGGACCCAGAAACAUACAAUUUACCUUAUCCCUUACCAGGUCAUCUUUUGGUCCACGGGAAAGGAUGCCAUGCGGUCUUUCAUGAUGCCAUUUUAUCAAAAGGAGUACUAUGAGAAUCAAGUAACUUGUGUGUAGUCCAAACUACAUCGAGGCAACAGUGAAGCAGGAGGUGACUGGGAAGGCUCUGCUUCAUACCUUUACAGCAGGGAGCAUCAUUGAGUUUGGACAAUGGGUGCUACGGGUGGCAUUUUAAGCCUCCAGAGGUAAACCCCCAGUGGAGCCUAUAGAUGCUCUUACAUGCCCGGUGGGGCCUGUGCCUCUCAUCACCAGCUGCAAUGGAAUGCACUCCUGCCCUUCUGUACUCCUAUCCACUACCUCCGCCUGAGUUCUAUCUGGGACCUCCCAUCAUGGAUAGGGCCAUGAAACAGGUGCAGCCCCAUGGCACUGCCCUAUCCUGGGCCCCUGGAACCUCCCAUCAGAAGCCCCAAAAUUCCCUCCAUUCCUGCAGCCAAGGCCGAGAAGCAGCUGCCAGAGCCUAUUACAACCUGGGCAACUCACAUAACAUCUACAUGCAUAGGUACCAGCCUCCACCACCUCCAUACUAUCCUCCCUGGUCUUGGAAGAUAGGAA